rnacentral:tRNA from 1 species
GGCUAGGUGGUCUAGUGGCUAUGGCUUCUGAUUCAUAUGCAGAAGGUCCUGGGUUCAAUCUCUGGCCUGUCCC